CAGUAGCCGCGGUAAUACGAAGGGUGCAAGCGUUAAUCGGAAUUACUGGGCGUAAAGCGCGCGUAGGUGGUUCAGUAAGUUGGAAGUGAAAUCCCCGGGCUCAACCUGGGAACUGCUUUCAAAACUGCUGAGCUAGAGUACGGUAGAGGGUGGUGGAAUUUCCUGUGUAGCGGUGAAAUGCGUAGAUAUAGGAAGGAACACCAGUGGCGAAGGCGACCACCUGGACUGAUACUGACACUGAGGUGCGAAAGCGUGGGGAGCAAACAGGAUUAGAUACCCGGGUAGUCCCUGUCUCUUAUAC
rnacentral:rRNA from 1 species